CUUACCUAGUGCUAUUCCGCGGAAGCACCAUGCCCGCAAAUAAAAUGAAAAGAUGUACCAACAACAAAAAGGAAGCAAUUUGGGUGUUACCUACUACACUUCGCAACAUCACAAAAAAAAAUUACAGAACUUCAUCUCUGCUCUUCAGGAUUCUGUUCUUCUACCUGCAGAAGAAAUGGAGCAUCCAGAUAAACAUUCCUUCUCUCAAACUAAUGGAUUGGUGUUUAUCAGGACCAAGUAGCUGUCAAAACAGUGAGUGAUGACUAUUUAAGAUGCAUAAAACCAUUUUAAUCCUAUAUACAUGCUCGUUUCUUAUAUACUUCCAGCUUGUACCCAGCAAGCUAUCUUGAAGCACCACCCCAAUUCAGGGUGCACUGAGCCAUGUUCAAUGCCUCCACAUACGGGUACAGA